UUUAAUCAUGCACCAUAUAGAGGAUUAGUGAGUUCCAAUACUAACAAACUAUACAAGAUCCAAAACAAUCUCAUAGUUAUCAAUAUCUUAAACGAACCGAAAAAUCCAAAUCAAUUCAUGUCCAUAAUCAAAAUUCCCUUUAAACCAUAAACCAUACCAUAAAAUCCAAUUCAAACUCACCGAUACCAAAAACCGCAUUGAAUCAUAUCUGCAUCAAGAAUCCAAUCAUAAACCAUUUCCUAAAACCAAUUCGAAUAUCCACACAUCACAUAACCAGUUCUAUCUCCA
rnacentral:lncRNA from 1 species